rnacentral:rRNA from 1 species
AGAGUGGCAGACGGGUGAGUAACGCGUGGGAACGUGCCCUUCGGUUCGGAAUAACUCAGGGAAACUUGAGCUAAUACCGGAUACGCCCUUAGGGGGAAAGAUUUAUCGCCGAAGGAUCGGCCCGCGUCCGAUUAGCUAGUUGGUGAGGUAACGGCUCACCAAGGCGACGAUCGGUAGCUGGUCUGAGAGGAUGAUCAGCCACACUGGGACUGAGACACGGCCCAGACUCCUACGGGAGGCAGCAGUGGGGAAUAUUGGACAAUGGGCGCAAGCCUGAUCCAGCCAUGCCGCGUGAGUGAUGAAGGCCUUAGGGUUGUAAAGCUCUUUCGCCGGGGACGAUA